rnacentral:rRNA from 1 species
UACGUAGGGACCGAGCGUUGUCCGGAUUCAUUGGGCGUAAAGAGCUCGUAGGCGGCCACUCAAGUCGAAUGUGAAACCUCGAGGCUUAACCUCGAGCCUGCAUUUGAUACUGGGCGGCUAGAGUCUGGUAGGGGGAUCUGGAAUUCCUGGUGUAGCGGUGGAAUGCGCAGAUAUCAGGAGGAACACCAGUGGCGAAGGCGCCGCUCUGGGCCGUGACUGACGCUGAGGAGCGAAAGCGUGGGUAGCAAACAGG